AUGGCGUACAGGAUGCUGGAGGUGACCCUCCAGUCGGCCAGGAACCUCAAGAACGUCAACCUCAUGUCGCGCCUCGAGGUGUACGCCGUGGCCACCAUCUCCGGCGACCCCAUGACGCGCCAGUGCACCCCGCCGGACCCCUACGGCGGCCGCCACCCCACCUGGAACACCACGCUCCGCUUCACCGUCCCGCCCACCGCCGCCGCCGGCGCCAGCGGCUGCCUCCACGUCCUCCUCCGCACCGAGCGCUCCCUCGGCGACCGCGACGUCGGCGAGGUCGUCGUCCCGCUCACCGACAUCCUCGGCCUCGGCGGCUCCUUCCGCGACCCGCGCGACCUCGGCCCCCGCCCCCCGCAGUUCGCCGUCUACCACGUCCGCAGGGUGCACCGCCCCGCCGACACCUACGGCGUGCUCUACCUCUCCUACCGCCUCGGCGGCGUCGUCCUGCCGCAGCCCCCUCACCCUCAUCCUCAUGCGCCGCACCCGCACCACGUCCACGCCGCUGCCGCUCACGAGGAAGAGCACCACGUCGUCGCGUACCCGGUGGCGGCGCGGCCGUCGUUCCAUCAUCACCAGCCGUACGCCUACAUGCCGGCCCCGGCGCUCAUGCCGCCGCCGCCGCAGCACUCCGCGCAAGCUUCUUCCGGUUCCGGUGGGCACAUGUCGUCCUCGCCGCCGUCUCCACGGGCUUAUGGUGGUGGUGGGCAUAUGGCCCUAGCUCCGCCGCUUUCAAAGGCUUACGGUUACGGGCACCUGUCGAUGCCGCCGCUCCAAGCCUCUGGGCACACGGCCGCGCCGCUCCAAGCCUCUGGUCACAUGGCCACGCCGCCGGCGCCUCAAAAAGCAGCUGCCGGAUACGCAGCCGGCUCGACAUGGACGAGGAAUAACGGCAGCGCGGACUUGGGCAUCGGCGGCGGGAUGAUGGCCGGCGACAUGAUGUCGGACGCCGCGGCGUACAACGCCGGGUACAGGGCCGGGAUGGCCCGCGAGUGGAGCGGGGUCCGCGGGGCGGUGUACUAG
rnacentral:rRNA from 1 species